rnacentral:rRNA from 1 species
CCCAGACUCCUACGGGAGGCAGCAGUGGGGAAUAUUGCACAAUGGGGGAAACCCUGAUGCAGCAACGCCGCGUGGGUGAAGGAGCGUUUCGGCGCGUAAAGCCCUGUCAGCGGGGAAGAAGAAAGACGGUACCCGACCAAGAAGCCCCGGCUAACUACGUGCCAGCAGCCGCGGUAAUACGUAGGGGGCAAGCGUUAUCCGGAUUCACUGGGUGUAAAGGGAGCGUAGACGGCCAGGCAAGCCUGAAGUGAAAGCCCGGGGCCCAACCCCGGGACUGCUCUGGGAACUGUCCGGCUGGAGUGCGGGAGGGGCAGGCGGAAUUCCUGGUGUAGCGGUGAAAUGCGUAGAUAUCGGGAGGAACACCGGCGGCGAAGGCGGCCUGCUGGACCGCGACUGACGUUGAGGCUCGAAAGCGUGGGGAGCGAACAGGAUUAGAUACCCCCGUAU